AAUUAGUUAUGAGACGCUUUAUUACGUAAACUUCCACAGGUAAUAAGACUGAAACAAUAGACUUAAUUGGUAUUACUAAACAAAGAAAUAUCUCUGUCGAUAUAACAGCUGGUCCAUCGGGUAAUACGGGUCAACUUGACGUCAGUUCUAUUGUCCUUAGGUCUAUGAAAAUAGCUUAUAAAUAGGCAGGAGUGUGAUACAAGCGUGUGUCAUUCGUUUAAGGUCUGUGAACAACAUGACAACUUUAAAAGCGCUCGUGAUGCUCUCAGUAGCAAUGCUAGCCUUGGCAGCGCCGUCUCCGGGCAUCCACAUACAUGCAGUAUCGUAUGUUCCUCCGGCGGUGGUUCACCACGUCCCCGUGUACCACGAGACUUACGCCUACCACGAACCGAUUAUUGCGCCAGUGGUGCACCCUGUGCCAGUAGCAUACCACCAUUCUUACGUACAACCAGUUGCGUAUAAAGUGAAAACCCAUUAUUCUUUAUUCGGUAAAUGAACUGUGAUUUUAUAAUA